UGCAAGUCGAGCGGUAGCACAGAGAGCUUGCUCUCGGGUGACGAGCGGCGGACGGGUGAGUAAUGUCUGGGAAACUGCCUGAUGGAGGGGGAUAACUACUGGAAACGGUAGCUAAUACCGCAUAAUGUCGCAAGACCAAAGUGGGGGACCUUCGGGCCUCAUGCCAUCAGAUGUGCCCAGAUGGGAUUAGCUAGUAGGUGGGGUAACGGCUCACCUAGGCGACGAUCCCUAGCUGGUCUGAGAGGAUGACCAGCCACACUGGAACUGAGACACGGUCCAAACUCCUACGGGAGGCAGCAGUGGGGAAUAUUGCACAAUGGGCGCAAGCCUGAUGCAGCCAUGCCGCGUGUGUGAAGAAGGCCUUCGGGUUGUAAAGCACUUUCAGCGGGGAGGAAGGCGUUAAGGUUAAUAACCUUGGCGAUUGACGUUACCCGCAGAAGAAGCACCGGCUAACUCCGUGCCAGCAGCCGCGGUAAUACGGAGGGUGCAAGCGUUAAUCGGAAUUACUGGGCGUAAAGCGCACGCAGGCGGUCUGUCAAGUCGGAUGUGAAAUCCCCGGGCUCAACCUGGGAACUGCAUUCGAAACUGGCAGGCUAGAGUCUUGUAGAGGGGGGUAGAAUUCCAGGUGUAGCGGUGAAAUGCGUAGAGAUCUGGAGGAAUACCGGUGGCGAAGGCGGCCCCCUGGACAAAGACUGACGCUCAGGUGCGAAAGCGUGGGGAGCAAACAGGAUUAGAUACCCUGGUAGUCCACGCCGUAAACGAUGUCGAUUUGGAGGUUGUGCCCUUGAGGCGUGGCUUCCGGAGCUAACGCGUUAAAUCGACCGCCUGGGGAGUACGGCCGCAAGGUUAAAACUCAAAUGAAUUGACGGGGGCCCGCACAAGCGGUGGAGCAUGUGGUUUAAUUCGAUGCAACGCGAAGAACCUUACCUGGUCUUGACACCCCACACCCACUUUCCAGAGAUGGAUUGGUGCCUUCGGGAACUGUGAGACAGGUGCUGCAUGGCUGUCGUCAGCUCGUGUUGUGAAAUGUUGGGUUAAGUCCCGCAACGAGCGCAACCCUUAUCCUUUGUUGCCAGCGGUUCGGCCGGGAACUCAAAGGAGACUGCCAGUGAUAAACUGGAGGAAGGUGGGGAUGACGUCAAGUCAUCAUGGCCCUUACGACCAGGGCUACACACGUGCUACAAUGGCAUAUACAAAGAGAAGCGACCUCGCGAGAGCAAGCGGACCUCAUAAAGUAUGUCGUAGUCCGGAUUGGAGUCUGCAACUCGACUCCAUGAAGUCGGAAUCGCUAGUAAUCGUAGAUCAGAAUGCUACGGUGAAUACGUUCCCGGGCCUUGUACACACCGCCCGUCACACCAUGGGAGUGGGUUGCAAAAGAAGUAGGUAGCUUAACCUUCGGGAGGGCG
rnacentral:rRNA from 1 species